rnacentral:rRNA from 1 species
ACGGGGUGCAGCAGGCGCGAAACCUUCACAAUGUGCGAAAGCGCGAUGAGGGGAUCCCAAGUGCUUGCUCGUAAGAGUAAGCUGUUUUUAUGUCUAAAAAGCAUAGAGAGUAAGGGCUGGGUAAGACGGGUGCCAGCCGCCGCGGUAAUACCUGCAGCUCAAGUAGUGACCGCUAUUAUUGGGCCUAAAACGUUCGUAGCCGGUUUGAUAAAUGCCUGGGUAAAUAGUGUAGCUUAACUAUACGAAUUCCGGGUAGACUGUUAAACUUGAGACCGGGAGAGGCUAGAGGUACUCCUGGGGUAGAGGUGAAAUUCUGUAAUCCUGAGGGGACCACCAGUGGCGAAGGCGUCUAGCUAGAACGGGUCUGACGGUGAGGAACGAAGCCCUGGGGCGCGAACCGGAUUAGAUACCCGGGUAGUCCAGGGUGUAAACGCUGCUUGCUUGAUGUUAGUUGGGCUCCGAGCCCAAUUAGUGUCGGAGAGAAGUUGUUAAGCAAGCUGCCUGGGAAGUACGAUCGCAAGAUUGAAACUUAAAG